rnacentral:rRNA from 1 species
CAUAUGCUUGUCUCAAAGAUUAAGCCAUGCAUGUCUGAGUACAGACCGAUCUAAGGUGAAACCGCGAAUGGCUCAUUAAAUCAGUCAUAAUUCCUUGGAUAGUGAUAACCUUUCCUCGGAUAACUGUGGAAAAUCCAGAGCUAAUACGUGCAACUGAGCUCCGACCUGGGCGAAAGUCCAGGGAAGAGCGCAUUUAUUAGAUUCAAAACUGACCGUCAUACUCCUUCGGGAUAUGUCGUUUGUCAAAUGUUUGAUGAUUCCGGAUAACUAAGCAGAGCGCUCCGGUCAUUAGUACCGGCGCCGUAUCUUUCAAGUGUCUGCCUUAUCAGCUUUCGAUUGUAGGUUAAAUGCCUACAAUGGCUGUAACGGGUAACGGGGAAUCAGGGUUCGAUUCCGGAGAGGGAGCCUGAGAAACGGCUACCACAUCUAAGGAAGGCAGCAGGCACGCAAAUUACCCACUCCCAGCCCGGGGAGGUAGUGACGAAAAAUAACGAUACGAGACUCUUAUGAGGCCUCGCAAUCGGAAUGAGUCCAUUUUAAAUCCUUGGACGAGGAUCAAUUGGAGGGCAAGUCUGGUGCCAGCAGCCGCGGUAAUUCCAGCUCCAAUAGCGUAUAUUAAAGUUGCUGCGGUUAAAAAGCUCGUAGUUGGACUUUCUAGAUCCAUUUCGUGGGUGAGUGGCUCUUUGUACUAGCGUUUCGUGCGGUCUCCUGACGAGGUCGUCGCGGAGUGUUCUUUAUUCGGCUCCGGUCGGUAGAGACGUUCCCGGCGUACAGAGUCUCGAAUAGCGGCGAGACGUUGUCUUAGAGUAUUGCUCGUCCGCGUUUGGAACAAUUAAAAUUUUGUCGGCUCACUCGGAGUGCUCUUUAUCGAGUGUUCCAGGGUGGCUGAUACGUUCACUUUGAAAAAAUUAGAGUGCUUAAAGCGGGCGCCUUUUAUGGCCUGCAUAUCUGUGCAUGGAAUGAAGUAACAGGACCUCGAUUCUGUUGUUUUUGUCGGUUUUAUUGAACCGAGGUAAUGAUUAAAAGGGACAGACGGUGGCAUUAGUAUUGCGACGCUAGAGGUGAAAUUCUUGGACCGUCGCAAGACUAACUACUGCGAAAGCAUUUGCCGAGAAUGUUUUCAUUAAUCAAGAACGAAAGUUAGAGGAUCGAAGGCGAUCAGAUACCGCCCUAGUUCUAACCCUAAACUAUGCUAACUAGCGAUCCGCCGGAGUCAUUCCCACGACCCGGCGGGAAGCCCCAGGGAAACCAAAGUCUUUGAGUUCCGGGGGAAGUAUGGUUGCAAAUCUGAAACUUAAAGGAAUUGACGGAAGGGCACCACCAGGAGUGGAGCSUGCGGCUUAAUUUGACUCAACACGGGAAACCUUACCAGGCCCGGACAUCAUAAGGAUUGACAGGUUGAGAGCUCUUUCUCGAUKUGAUGGGUGGUGGUGCAUGGCCGUUCUUAGUUGGUGGAGUGAUCUGUCUGGUUGAUUCCGAUAACGAACGAGACUCUACCCUACUAACUAGUCGGCGGAUCGUAACCCUGAGAUGGUUAGUUCGUAUAGGGGAGUUAGUUUUAGAUCGARUCCGUUCGAAAGGGGCGUGCGUUCUUUCUUUUGCUAUUCCGUAGUUAAGAGUUAGAGCGUUACGCUAUCCCGACGUUCGAUGCUUUAUCGAAGCUGCUUUCCGAUUACUGCUACUACUACUGCUGGGGGCGUCCGUCGCAAUGUAUCUUCUUAGAGGGAUCAGCGGCGUAUAGCCGCACGAGAAAGAGCAAUAACAGGUCUGUGAUGCCCUUAGAUGUUCUGGGCCGCACGCGCGCUACAAUGCAGGGUGCAGCGUGCUUUCCCUCUCCGAAAGGAGCGGGUAACCCGUUGAAACCCCUACUUAAUAGGGAGUGGGGAUUGUAAUUAUAUCCCAUAAACGAGGAAUUCCAAGUAAUCGCGAGUCAUUAACUCGCGCUGAUUACGUCCCUGCCCUUUGUACACACCGCCCGUCGCUACUACCGAUUGAAUGGUUCAGUGAGGGCAUCGGACUGGCCCUUCGGUUUAGUAACCUAGACCUUAGGCUGACGGAAAGAUGUCCGAACUUGAUCAUUUAGAGGAAGUAAAAGUCGUAACAAGGUUUC